rnacentral:lncRNA from 1 species
GCCUUUUCUUUUACUCAAUGGACUCGAUGAAUUAACGUUGUAUUUGAAAAAUGAAACCGUACUUUACUACAAACACUUUUCAUAUUCUUUGCCAAGUUUUAGGUAUUCGACAUAGGAUAGUGAUUUUUUUUCUGAUUCCGUUUACUUGAAGAAAAAAAAUCCCGAAAUUGUAAGUAAAUUCAUAACAUGUAACCAACCAUGCUUUGUUAAGAAAAAACGGAGAUGGCCAAUCAUGGCACAGGG